rnacentral:ncRNA from 1 species
CUGAGAAGUAGAGGCGCACUAAAUAUCAGUAGCGGUAAGCAGGGUGAUUCCGUUUAUGUAUCGCGAAAGGAUUUGGUGCCGAAGGGGUUGCGACUCAUCAAAGUCCACCGCUGGGGCUGUUACCAAAUAGGGGCAGCACUGCCAUAGUAUAUUCUGUCGGGAUGACAGAUUGACGUUACUAUGGAGCGCUACUGAAAGG